ensembl:lncRNA
GACUGUAUCUUCACUUCCCAGAAAAAUGAGUAGGAUUUCUCCGGAAGGCAAGUCCCUCUGAGGAAUAUUACAGCGAAUGAAUCUUCUUUGGUGGUCCAGCCACACCAGCCCUUAUACUUCACAGCGUGAGUGUCCAGUCAACAUUGAUUAUUCCUAUGAUAGAAAAUCAAGGAUAGAUGAUAUCACAGAAGAGAUAAUCGAGGAUGUUUCAGGCUGAUCUCUGGAAUGCACUCAAGGUCACAGUGUGACUCAGGCACUUGGUCUCACUGUGUCCCUGGCUUUGGCUCCUCUUCAGACUCUCACAGACUCAGCAGAUAGGAAGGCGUCAUGGAUGAAAGAGUCCUGUUCAACCAUAUCUAUUUACGAUCAGACCAGAUUGGACUUGAUCGUGUGUGGAGGCACUAUUCUAGAAGUAGCACCGAAUCUGUCUUCUCCGGCUAUAGAAUACCAGGAGUCAGGGCAUCUAGCAACCUUCCCUGGGACCCAGCAAGAGAGGUGUCAUAAACUGCUGGCAAGACUGCGCCUCCAUACUGCCCAGAGGCCAGACAUCUCCAUGGGACUGGCAUGGCAGCAGUCACAAAUUCUAACCACCCUGUGCUAGAUUUCUCUGGGCAUACAGAGAGCCAGGUACUCUUUCCAUUUCACAUGUGAAAAAACUGAGACAUAAAAAGGUUAAAGGAUUUUUCUAAUUAACAUUGAUUCAGUGGUGAAAAUAGGACAAGAAAGUGUAUUUUAAACCUGGGGCCAUUGUUCAAAGAGUUGAGGGCAAUCUACCCAACCACCUAUCCACUCUGCAGGCAAGACAAACAGAACAAGUAGGGCAACUAUAAAUCUGCUGGCAUCAAUCGGCACAACAAAAAUAGCACUACUAGUGCCUUUUUUAUUCCCAAGAAAAUGUGUCAUCUAGAGCCACUUAUUUAAAGAAAAGUUCACAUGUGAGUGACUUUUUUUUUUUUUUUUUUUUUUAGAUAUAAACAUCAAGGCCAGGUGCGGUGGCUCACACCUGUAAUCCCAGCACUUUGGGAGGAGUGAAGUGGAGGAAGAGGUACGUUCAACUACAGAGGAGGAAACUGAGGCCCAGAGGGGAAAAGUGACUUGAUUGACAAAAAUUGGAUUCUGGUCUUUGUUCUGCCAAAGGUUCAUUGUGAGAUGGGAACAAGUUUCAGCCUUACUGUCUCAAUUUAAUGUUUAAACCAUUGUGCUUCACAUUCUAAGGACUGCUGUCACCAACAUGCUUGCUCAAAUGCAAAGCAAAAUGCUCUGAAUUCAUGUAAAGAAAGAUUUGCAGUGAGUCAAAGCCUUAUUGUUGACAAAUAGUUAUAGGCCAAGCUACAUUUGGGAGUGAUGAUAUUUUCUGCUGCUGGUGCCCGUCCUUCAGGAGUCAGGUGAGCACUGCAGGUGGAGAUGAGAGGCAAGUUUCACCUGCUCAAAAAUGUAUCUUUCCCCCAUCGAUAUGUGCCAGGACCUGCAAUUCCCACCAUCUGUCUCAUCUUUGGGUUAAGACAGUGCUUUCAUUCAUUUGUUCAUCCAUGUAUUUAGCCAAGAGUUAUUAACCUGAGCUCCUGCUGUGUACCAGGCAGGUACCAGGUGUACAGUGGCACAGUGCCUUUAUGAAAUCUAUCAUCCACUGAGGGAGAUGUUUGUACUUUCUGGUAAGAGCUCUGACGGAAAAGAGAAUAGCAGAGGGCUCAAAUGGGGGAAGAGACUUGGAAGCUGUUGCUGAAGGGCGGAAAGGAGUUAAUAGAGUGCUGAGUGGAGAAGCUUUCUGGGCAGUGGCAGCAGCAUUGGCUAGAGGCCAAGGCUGAGGGCAGUGAAGAGCUUGGUGAAUUCCAGGAACUGCCCUUGAGGCUGAAACAAAAAACGUGAGAAGGUAAGUUGUUGUAGGAAAUAAAUUGGAGACUUUACCAAGGUUGGUAUCUGCA